UUCGUCUUGCUCGAGCUGAGCCGCCGGGAUACUGCAGGCCUGCAGCCUCCUGUCCGCAGCUGUUUCGUGAGCCAGGGAAGGAUUGGGUUGAGGUGUUCCUUGUUUCUUCUUGGGCAGCUCUUCGUCGAACUGAUCUGAAUUUUUGGUCCUGCUUCAUUCGCAUGUCGUUCGUGAGAUUGAUUCCGUCCGUGUAUUUCUCCGUCCGCCGCUCGUGCCUUCGACGCUCUCGCUCUUCCUGCCGAGGUUUGCCAGCGUUUCCUCUAGAUAUUUUUACGGUUGAUUUUCAUGGUUGUCCCGCAUGGUCUGACUGAGGGUGCUGGUUGCAGUUCAUGUGUUUGUUGAAAUGCCUGUGAGGCGAUGAUCCAGUUGUAGACGCUUAGUCUGCAGACGAUUUUGUGUUUGUGUUCGUUUGCUCGACACAUAAUUUUUAAUGGCCGCGCCCUCUUCUAGCUCGUCACGUUCCUGGAGCGCUGCAGGCCGGCGCGAACGAGUUUCAGCUCGUGUCGCUCUGUUCCAUGGUGCGUGUGUCUUCGGUCGUGUUUACAUUAUUAUUGUUUUAGGGUGCCCUUUUCUUACAGUUGUUCUUAUGGUAGUUGUCGUUGAUCCUCGAUAUAAGCUGUCUCCUGGGGAAAUUGUGGACAGAUCACGGUUUGAUGGUGCGUGCCCGUCCACCUCUGUUACUUUUCGCUUGGACCCAUGUUUGUACCUUGAGCUGACAUUGGUGUGGAUUAGGCCCCGGUUUUUUCCCUGUUGUCUCGCGUGAAUAUGGACCGGCUGAGGUGGCUUAGGUGGACAAAAGCAGGUGUGCACUCGCUGUUUGUAUUUUUAGGCUUGUUGGUCUGUGUGGCGCUCGCCGUUUCUUCCUUCCACUCCAAGGCCGUUGCCCCUUUUCGACAGCAUCCACUUCUAGGAGUCUUUUCAACCUUCAGUACAUGGAGUUCCUGAAAGGUACGAUACCCAUGCGUAUCUUACCAUGGUGCCCCUGAUUAUCGCUGUCAGUUCUGUGGUGAAGCUCGGGAGCUCCGUGAGGCUGCGCCGUGUCCUAUACAGCUUGUGUUGCAAGGGUGGGAAGGUCUGGGCCCCACCCUUCGCUUCACCGCCUCCUUUUCUUGCGGAGCUUCUUAGGUUUGAUGGUGAGCAGCCGAGAUAGUGCCACAUCCGUUGUGCCGCAUGGCCGUGGCCACAACGGUGCGACAUGGUUAGCCCAAUAAGGCGAAGACUGUGAUGCUUCGUCUGCUCAAACCACAACCUCGGGAGCAACCAGGACAACUGAUUUUUGGCAACCGACGGUCGAGAACAAGAGUUUGUGGACCAUCUAUUCUCAUUCCAUUUGGUUCAGAUUUCGUUGUUCUUCCCGUUCUCUCUACUGUUCAGACUUAAUUUUUUGUUUUGUGCUAUCCAGCAGGAAAGCUCAACCAGGGUCCAGGGGAUUACGAAGUUCAUGCCACUGUGGUCCCUUCAGAACACUCGGUGAAAUCAUGUGUGAAACUUUGCUGUUUCUACUAGCUGAUGAAUCCUACAAGCUCUGAGCAAGAGGUUGUCUUUACACAUGCCUCCAUUUUUACUAGCAGUUUGAUAGAUUUACUAAUUGAAUAAUAUUAUUUGAAUAUUUCACAUGAAAAUAUUUUUGGCGUUUGAGGUUAUAAUGUAUUAAUGUUUAAUGGAAUGAAGAUUUAAUUCCCAAAAUAAUUUCACUUAGAUAAUAUUUGCUCAAGAUGCAUGCUAUGAGCACAAAGAUAGUUACUCUUUGCAAGCAAUGCUACUAGAGGUUGAAAGCUAUACAUGCAUGAAUACAGUUUCCUGGAAAGAUGCAAUUUUCUUUCCAUCUUGGAAAUUUGGUAUCUAGGUUGGUUUGGACACUGACCAAACAUGAAACAUAUUCUGUAAGACCCACCUCUGUUUUAGUGAUUAUGAUUUACCAGUGUCUCAAAUAGUUGUGACUUUAUUUUUAAAGCUUUCCCUAUUGUUAAAUCCAUUGAUGGCCAUCCUUAGUUAAAUUUAGGUUAAAUGUAGGGCCUAUGUUUAUUGUCUUGCCCAUGUAGAACAGUGUGUCUGUGUAAGAAUUGAUAGAUGAAAAUUUUCUACUCUUGGAGUAUAUGUAUAUGUCUAGGAUUUAUUGAAUGGAUGUAUUGAUGUAAGGCUCCCCUGUUUUUUAGGUUUCUUCAUGAUUUAUCAGUGUCCCAUGUCCCAAUCAGUAGUGAAUUCAGUUUGUGAUAGCAACAUCUUGGCCGGGUUAGGAUAUAGAAGAGACUUCUUGUUUUGGUUCCUGAUUUUCUCGUUGUUACUUAUGUACUCUGACUAUAAUUUGAGCUGUGGCUUUAUCCUGCCAAGUUUGGUAUUUUGAUCCCAAGUCCCAUAUGUAUUGACUUCUGAUGACUUUGUGCACUGAUAUUUGUCCUCAACUCUCGAUAGAAAUUACACACACGUUUUUAACCGUUUCCUCUUAUUCUGAUUCAUUGGGUUAGUAAGUUGUAUAUAAAAACUUAAAGAAUAGCUAGCUCCCGGUUGCAAUGGCUAAAUAAUAUUCCGAAGAUUUUUGUUUCAGAUUUCGAGAAAGCUUGCUCAUGGUACAGCUGGUAGGACAGGUUCUGCGCCCAGAUCAAACAUCCCAUUCCCAGGUGUGUGAAUUUAUAUUCUUUUAUCUUUUAUCUUCAUCUCUGGCUAUUAUGAGCAAAUUUUGCAAUGCACUGUUUGUAACAUUGGAGAAAACUAUUAACAAUUCUGAUCAAUGGCACAUGGUUUAUCUUGGCAAUUAGUUGAGUUUCUUUCUAAAAUGAAAUAGGCACUAGCGCUACUUCAUGAUCUAUGUUUUGACAGUUCGAUCCCUUAUUUUAGAUAACCGAUAUGGAUUAUUUGAGGAAGUAAACCUUUGAAUCACUCUUCAAAUAAUAUGGAGUACGUACUUUGGAGAAAUGACGUCAUGUAUUUGUUCGUUUCAUAGAAGAUAAAUUUAUCUAAAUAACGAUGUGUCUGGGAAGCCUCUUAUGAAUGGCUGACUGGCUGCAUGGUGUUGUUGGCAACCUACGGUCACAAUAUUUGCAUUAAACCAAGAAUGGAAACACAUUUAUGUAUUUUCAAGAUUCUGUUUGUAGGUAUUGCUGCCCAUUGCAAACUUUGCUAUUUAUAAUCAUACUGCAUGUUAGUUAAUUGCUUCAACUUUUUGUUUUGUUUUGUAAAGAGCUUCUUGUGCUUAAAAUAUCUGUUGCUUUAUCCUUCCAAUUACUGUUAUUCAGAUCUUCAUUUCUGUUUUAUAUUAGUAUUUUUUAGAUUAUUAAAUAAUAGUAGGCACUAAAAAUCAUCUUAGGCCUUAAUCAAACGAAGUCAUAUGUUGGCGCGAGACAUGCAUAUAUACACUACUUUCUCUUUUACAGGGUUUUAGCAUAUAAUGUGCAUACAUACAAUUCUCGUUUGCAUAUAUUGUUUGAUCCAAGUUACCAAUUUAAUAUAUGCAGACCACAAUUUUAGUAAAGGCAUGCAAUGAUAUGGUAGAACCUCACAUUUAUAAGAGAACUUUAAAGCUUAUAAACAUAUAUAUCAUUUUUUCUGGCACUUCACAUCUCAGCUGCACUGAAAGAGUAAGAUAAAGGUGUUUAUUUUCCAAGUUUAUGAUUCUGACUUCUGUGCUUUCACGCUAUAUUUACAGGUUCUUUUUCUUUUUCUUUCGCAGUUAGUGCACUACAUGUGUACCGCUAGGCACUUGACCAUGUUGCCAGAUUCGGAAGUGUAGUUUUACUGUUGCAUUUUAAGAGAAUUGUUUGUUGAAUUUGUUUUUUGAAUCCAGUGCCUCUGUGGUUAAUGUACUAAUUUUGUUCUGUUCUUGAAGGGAUAUUAAUUGGAACAACCUUGUCUUAGGGUGAAAACUUGCGAUUUACCUUUUUUGGGGAAUUUUAAUCCCUAUAGAUGUACUAUGUAAUUGAAUACCUUGUAUCAAACCCAGAAGUGUUUAAGGCCAGAAUCGAAAUGAGUAUUUGUGGCUCA